UGUUAGCAUCGCCCAGGGUGGACCACCACCAAAUUUUUUUUUGCAAUGGUGUUACAGCUACAUAUCCACUGGAGAAAUUGAUCAUGCAGCAAUAAAUGAAACCGACGUUACAGACCCUGAACUCAUGGAACUAAUUAAAGAGAUUCACGCAGCUGACAACACAAUCCUGAUGGAGUCCACAGACAGGAUUUUGUCAUGUGGAUACACCGGGAUAGUUUCUACACAAAAAAAAGAAGAGAUUGUGCGCUCUGUAGUCCUACACGCUACAAUGAGAUUACUUCCCAUGCUACAACAAAUCUGCUCGGGAAUGAAACUGUAUGGGCUUCUCAGCUUGGUCCAACAAGCAGCAGACAUUUGCAGACAACUGUUUGUUCCAGGAGCUUUU